GUGCUCACUUCAGCAGCAUAUAUACUAAAAUUGGAACAAAACAGAGAAGAUUAUCAUGGCCCCUGCACAAGGGUGACCCACAAAUUCAUGACGCGUUCCAUGUUUUU
ensembl:snRNA U6 U6 spliceosomal RNA